AUAUGUAGCCAAGGGAUACAGUCAGAAGAGGGGUGAAAACUAUGAUGAGACAUUUUCACCUACCGCUAACCUCACCAGUAUCAGAGUGUUAAUGCAAAAAGCAGCACAGGAAAAUCUGAUUUUACACCAAAUGGAUGUUAAAACUGCUUACCUACAUGCACCAAUAGACUGUGAGAUAUACAUGGACCAGCCAGAGGGUUUUGAGGUCAACUGUGGAAGGGGGAAAAACAAAUCUGAUUUAUUGUCCAACAGACCAGAUGGUGGCAGAUGUUAUGACAAAACCUGCACCAAAGUUUAAGUUGAUUAAGUUUGCAAAGUUUAUGUUUGGUGAGUAACAAUUUCUGUAAGGUAGAGAACCUUAUAAUGUUUUUAUUUGUUAAAAGACCACAAAUGUGUUAUCAAGUGGGGGUGUUAACAUUCAGGUAAAUAUGUUACCAAUUUGUGUUAUUUGUUGUGCAUGACUGGAAGCCAAUAGCGUAACAGGUUAAAGGUCAAUGAUGGGUAUAAAUAAAGCCACGCCUCCAAUGGGAGGGCCCGUUGAAUGAAAUG